rnacentral:rRNA from 1 species
UAUUUUAGUCUUGUUAGAGGAACCUGUUUUAUAAUCGAUAAACCACGAAUAUCUUACUUAUUUUAAAUAAUUUGUAUACCGUCAUUAUUAGAUAACUUUCAAAAAAAUUAGUUAUUAAAAUUAAAUAAAAUUAAAUAUAUUAGAUCAAGGUGCAGUUAAUAAAUAAGAAAAAAUGGGUUACAAUAAAAUUUAUUUAAAACGAAUUAUAUAAAUGUAAAAAUAUAUGAAGGAGGAUUUAAUUGUAAUUUUUUAUAAAAUAAUAAUAUGAUAAUAGCUCUAAAAUAU